GACGGGUGAGUAACACGUGGGCAACCUGCCUGUAAGACUGGGAUAACUUCGGGAAACCGAAGCUAAUACCGGAUAGGAUCUUCUCCUUCAUGGGAGAUGAUUGAAAGAUGGUUUCGGCUAUCACUUACAGAUGGGCCCGCGGUGCAUUAGCUAGUUGGUGAGGUAACGGCUCACCAAGGCAACGAUGCAUAGCCGACCUGAGAGGGUGAUCGGCCACACUGGGACUGAGACACGGCCCAGACUCCUACGGGAGGCAGCAGUAGGGAAUCUUCCGCAAUGGACGAAAGUCUGACGGAGCAACGCCGCGUGAGUGAUGAAGGCUUUCGGGUCGUAAAACUCUGUUGUUAGGGAAGAACAAGUACGAGAGUAACUGCUCGUACCUUGACGGUACCUAACCAG
rnacentral:rRNA from 1 species